GACUGACGCAUAUCAUAUUUCUAUAACAUAUUUUUAUAUUUUAUGGGUAUUUAUAUUAUCAUUCAUAUUUUAUGUAUCUAUAAAUCAUCCAAGAGAUUAACAAGAUGACGACACAUAUUCUCAGAGAGUUAAAAAUUUAAAAUAUAUGUCAUUGAUAGUUAAUUCCUAAUUAUUCUUGGUCAUAAGAUCAUCAUGGGGAUGGUGAUUGAUCCAGAUAGACCAGUGCAUAGAUCGCUUCCUUUGGACAGAU
rnacentral:lncRNA from 1 species